CGUCACGGGGAGGAGGGGGGGGGCUCGCUGGGUCUCCGUCGUACCGCCGGGGAGCCGGGCCGGAGGGGCUUUCACGACUCCCCGCCGUCCCCUCCCCAGCUGAGGGGACACCGCAGGGACACCCACCACGCCCCCGCAAUUCUCCUCCCAGCAGCUCCGCCCCGGGCGGUGAGGACUCUGGUUAUCCCCUCGGGACCGGCUCCGAAGCUGAAAGUGAUCCAGUAUAUGCAGUUUUCUGUGGAAGAAGUUCCAAACAGGUGGAAGAAAUAUGUGCCAAGAGAAAACCUACCAAUUCCAGAUUUGAAUUUUCUCAUUAGGUAUCUUGAAGAUACAGCCAACCGGAAUUAGUACUACUCUUCCUUGUUCAAAACCUUCUGAAGAACAGCUACAAUUUUAAAAUACAGAAAAUCAAACGGGAA